rnacentral:rRNA from 1 species
AGUAACGGCGAGUGAAGCGGGAAAAGCUCAAAUUUAAAAUCUGGUGGCCUCUGGUCAUCCGAGUUGUAAUUUAGAGAAGCGUCUUCCGCGCUGGACCAUGCACAAGUCUCCUGGAAUGGAGCGUCAUAGAGGGUGAGAAUCCCGUCUUUGGCAUGGAUGCACCAGGGCUUCUGUGAUGCGCUCUCAAAGAGUCGAGUUGUUUGGGAAUGCAGCUCAAAAUGGGUGGUGAACUCCAUCUAAAGCUAAAUAUUGGCGAGAGACCGAUAGCGAACAAGUACCGUGAGGGAAAGAUGAAAAGCACUUUGGAAAGANAGUGAAACAGUACGUGAAAUUGUUGAAAGGGAAACGCUUGAAGUCAGUCGCGUCGACCGAGACUCAGCCUCGCCUUGGCUUGGUGUACUUCUCGGCUGACGGGUCAGUGUCAAUUUUGGGCCUCGGAUAAUGACAAGGGAAAGGUGGCACCUUUAUAGGUGUGUUAUAGUCUCCUGUCGGAUGCGAGGGUCGGGAUUGAGGAACUCAGCACGCGCCUUUUGGUGUCGGGGCUUCGGCCUACGCUACGUGCUUAGGAUGCUGGCAUAAUGGCUUUAAACGACCCGUCUUGAAACACGGACCAAGGAGUCUAACAUGCCCGCGAGUGUUCGGGUGGAAAACCCGUGCGCGUAAUGAAAGUAAAAGUUGGGACCUCUGUCGUGGAGAGCACCGACGCCCGGACCAGACCUUCUGUGACGGAUCUGCGGUAGAGCGUGCAUGUUGGGACCCGAAAGAUGGUGAACUAUGCCUGAAUAGGGUGAAGCCAGAGGAAACUCUGGUGGAGGCUCGUAGCGAUUCUGACGUGCAAAUCGAUCGUCAAAUUUGGGUAUAGGGGCGAAAGACUAAUCGAACCAU